CAUCCUUCAAGAUCGAGGUCU
rnacentral:miRNA from 1 species